GAUGAAGAACGUAGCGAACUGCGAUACUUGGUGUGAAUUGCAGAAUCCCGUGAACCAUCGAGUCUUUGAACGCAAGUUGCGCCCGAAGCCACUAGGCCGAGGGCACGCCUGCCUGGGCGUCACACGCCGUUGCCCCCCCAUCUACUCCUUCGGGAUUGCGGGGGGGCGGAUGAUGGCCUCCUGUGCGCCUAGCCGCGCGGUUGGCAUAAAUACCAAGUCCUCGGCGACGCACGCCACGACAAUCGGUGGUUGCGAAACCUCGGUUGCCCGUCGUGUGCGUUCGUCGCGCAUCGAGGGCUCGAAAAAAUGCUCGGCUCCGGCUGGGCUUUCAACGCGACCCCAGGUCAGGCGGGGUUACCCGCUGAAUUUAAGCAUAUCAAUAAGCGGAGGA
rnacentral:misc_RNA from 1 species